rnacentral:rRNA from 1 species
AUUGAACGCUGGCGGCAUGCCUUACACAUGCAAGUCGAACGGUAAUGCGGGGCAACCUGGCGACGAGUGGCGAACGGGUGAGUAAUGUAUCGGAACGUGCCCAAUAGUGGGGGAUAGCCCGGCGAAAGCCGGAUUAAUACCGCAUGAGACCUGAGGGUGAAAGCGGGGGACUCGCAAGAGCCUCGCGCUAUUGGAGCGGCCGAUAUCAGAUUAGGUAGUUGGUGGGGUAAAGGCCUACCAAGCCGACGAUCUGUAGCUGGUCUGAGAGGACGACCAGCCACACUGGGACUGAGACACGGCCCAGACUCCUACGGGAGGCAGCAGUGGGGAAUUUUGGACAAUGGGCGCAAGCCUGAUCCAGCCAUGCCGCGUGCGGGAAGAAGGCCUUCGGGUUGUAAACCGCUUUUGUCAGGGAAGAAAUCUUCUGGGUUAAUACCUCGGGAGGAUGACGGUACCUGAAGAAUAAGCACCGGCUAACUACGUGCCAGCCGCCGCGGUAAAAC